rnacentral:rRNA from 1 species
CCAGACUCCUACGGGAGGCAGCAGUGGGGGAUAUUGCACAAUGGGGGGAACCCUGAUGCAGCGACGCCGCGUGGGUGAAGAAGCGCCUCGGCGCGUAAAGCCCUAUCGGCAGGGAAGAAGGAGGACGGUACCUGACUAAGAAGCCCCGGCUAACUACGUGCCAGCAGCCGCGGUAAUACGUAGGGGGCAAGCGUUAUCCGGAUUUACUGGGUGUAAAGGGGGCGCAGACGGCAGCGCAAGCCAGGAGUGAAAGCCGGGGCCCAACCCCGGGACUGCUCUUGGAACUGCGCGGCUGGAGUGCAGGAGGGGCAGGCGGAAUUCCUGGUGUAGCGGUGAAAUGCGUAGAUAUCAGGAGGAACACCGGUGGCGAAGGCGGCCUGCUGGACCGCGACUGACGUUGAGGCUCGAAAGCGUGGGGAGCGAACAGGAUUAGAUACCCGGGUAU